rnacentral:rRNA from 1 species
CCCUUAGAUGUCCUGGGCUGCACGCGCGCUACACUGACGAACUCAACGAGCUUAUCACCUUGGCAGAGAUGUCUGGGUAAUCUUUUGAAAGUUCGUCGUGCUGGGGAUAGAUGAUUGUAAUUAUUCGUCUUGAACGAGGAAUUCCUAGUAAGUGUGAGUCAUCAGCUCGCGCUGAUUACGUCCCCGCCCUUUGUACACACCGCCCGUCGCUCCUACCGAUUGAAUGGUCCGGUGAGGUUCUCGGAUUUUUUCUGUUGUUUGGUUCGCUAAACGAUUGAAGAGAGAAGUUACCCAAACCUUACCAUUUAGAGGAAGGAGAAGUCGUAACA